GGUGCACUCUGCUUGUUAGCCACAGCAGCUCCUCUGUCUGCUGCUGGCAUCAUCUUGCUGUUCCCUCCAGAGCAGCAGCAGCUGUUUCUUCUGCAUGUGUGAAAGUCUUUACACUACCCAAGAACUGCUAAAUACGUCUAAUUGCUCGUGUAAUAAUCUCGGAGUGAAGGAUACGAGCUGGAUAAUUCCCAUCUGUAGAUGCAAACUCUCACCCCCCACUCUGAGGAAGAACAGAGUGGCUCCUGGUGAAAAAGAGGAGGGGAUCCACUUAUUGUGCACUCUCCAUAUAUCACUCUUGAGCUCAGAAGUUUCCAGCACCUCCUGAUUUGUCUCUUGUAACUCAGUAGCUGUGGAAACCAGCAGCUGAUGAACCCAGCUGCCCCAUUUCUCUGAACUACAGGAGCCUCCCGAGGGUCUUGACUUGCAGUUUGACUUGAGAAACUGCUGCACAGCAUCUGAGACAGUAGGCAGUAUCCUUAAAUUGCCUUUUAUAAGACUGAAACUUUUAUUUAUGAUCAGUUUGUGGUUUGAAAAGGAACUGUACAUCUCUUCAGCAGCUCUUUCACAGCUCAUAGAGCAGCAUAUCAACAUCAGUGAGCUGAAGUUUACCAAGUCUUAGGAGAUCAGUGAGCCUUAGAUGUGCUUCAAGCCUUGCCAUCUCACUGAAAUGUUGAUGUUUCUGCAUUGGAAAGAGCCAGGAAAAGCUCAGUUUCAUGUUUUCCUUGUCCUUGAUCUUGAUCUAAUACUUAUCCAGGUUUCAGAGAUUUGAAAACAGGUACAGAGACUUGGGCUGGGUCAGAGGACAAAUCUUGGGCAGAAACUGAGCUCUGCUUUCCUUUUCCUUGUGCUUUAAACCCAAGCUUGGACCUUACUGAAGGUCAAGAAACAAUUUGCAAAUUGUUAACUGAGGAGUGUUGAUUAAUGUUUCAUUUCACAGAGGAACUGGAAGCAAGGUUGUUUCCGUGCACAAUUUAACAAGGAGGGGAAGGUGAAAGGAAAGUGUACACCAUCCGUCUUGGAUCCUAAAAGUCUUCAUUGCUAAGGAAAGCAGAGGAAUUUUGCAGUAUCACAGGCCACAUUAGGAUUUCUAUUUUAUACCUCAUAACCUUUUCAGUUAUUUUCAGGAGUAAUGACACACCUAAUACACGGCAGAAGAAAUCCUUGUCAGGUAAUCCAACUUUGAAGCAAAACAAAUAGUGAGAACAACAUCAGAAGCUUUGAAUAACAAAACACUCAUCCCAAGGAAUGGCAAUGGAAACACGCUCCUCCAGCAGGUCUGCUCACUGCUAUUUAUUCAGCAUAGGCUGUGAACAAACAGUAGGAAGAUAAAUGGCAUUAAACUUUGGUAAUGACAGACAGCACAGAUAGGAUGUACAGGCUUGAAUUCCUCUGUAGCCACAUGAAGCAGGAGUAAUUAGAACUGGCUGGACAAUUGCCAGCAGCGUGUUCUCAUUGAGAAAUAAAAUCCUAUUACAAUGCAAGUACUAAAAUAACUCACACAGUAAUUUUGAAAAUCAUGUGCUGGAGAAAGGACCAAGUUCUCAGAUUUGCAAAAUGAACCUCAGACAGAAUAACACAUGAUUUUUUUUUUUGUUUGUCUCAAAUGAUGUUUUGGUUUAGAAUUUAAAGCUAUGUACUUGAAAAUGGAAAAAAAAAAAAUCCUUGAUGCUAUGUAAUCAAUCCUAAAUGCUAUUUCUUCCAUCAAAGAUUUUUCCAUUUACUGAGCAGUAGAAAGGGAGGGAUUAUUUUAAUGUGGCAUGAAGAUAGAUGUCAGCCUCUCAAAAAAGAUUAAUCUCUACUGUCAGUGGUACCCAGGCCAGGGAGCAACCUCUGGCUCCAGAGAAAUUCAGUGCAGAGAGUUUUGCAUCUGUAACAUUUAGGGCAACUUCUAGUAGCCAAAUGUCUGAGUCCAUGCUGUGUGUCCAGGCACAGAAAUCUUUGUUUGUAUUAUGGAGGGAGGGGUCUCUGGCUGUACAGGGUGCAGUAUUGGGUGUGACCAGUGCCCUGUGGCCAUCCAUGAUCAACUGCUGCAGUUCAACACUCGCAGAAAACUUUAAUUCUCUCUUUAGAUGGCAGAUCUUGUUGCAUGGGGAAUGUGCCCUGCAAACUUUCUGUCUCAUCAUCUCUGCUCAGAUCUGAGCUAAUUACAGAUACACUGCUCAGUGGGCAAGACCUUUAGUUGUUCAGAAUACUGAUGGCCUCUCCAACUUUUUCCUGCUGAUCAAAAAUUUUUAGAAAAUACAACCAGAUGUCAGGCUUGUCUGUUAAAAGAAAUGGAUUUCAAUCUUGCCUUUUUACCUAAUGCUCUAUUGCAUGGAAGAAAACAACCAAUAGCCAUGAAAAGAAAGGGGCUGCAUGAUGAGAUGAUUCUUCUAUUCUGCAGGCAAACCAAAACGCCAACAUUAAUUUAACUGACUUGAAUGAAAUUUUCAUUUUGUUUACAAAAGACAUAGUGACAAAGCACUUGCCCUGGUUUACAUGUAGUGUUAUGGUUUAGGUUUUAAAAUGUCUUAAGAAUUAUCUAAAUGUAGCUACAGAGUGAGAAUGAUUUAAUUUCAGUUAAUCUGUUCAAAGUGAGAAUAAUUUAAUUUAACUUAAUUACUUUGAAGACAAGCUCUUUUCAUACUACAUCUAAAGUUAGGCAGCUACAGAGGAUAAAUCACCCCAUCUGUUGCAAAGCAUGGAAAGCAAAACUGUAUGAAGGUUUCCUUUGAAAGCAUAAAAAUAAAGUUUAGCCCAGUUUAUAAUAACUUUGUGAAAGCAACACAUUGAAAAAAGAAUUAGUCCCAAAUUAGCCAGUUGAUUGGAAUCAGCACUUUUAAUUAAAAAAUAUUCCAAUGGAAACCCCUUCCUUGUCAGCCAUCCAGAGCUGUUUCCAGCAGCUGAAAAGUCAGGCAUUGUGGACAUUGAAGCUACAGGAGCAGUGUGGAGGGUGUGUUUGUGCACACAAGUGCAGCCUUUCAUGCUGCACUUCCUUGCAUUUCCUGUGACGAUGCAUGUGCGUACAGCAGCACUGCUGCCACACUGCCCUCUGCCAUGGGGGAGCCCAGAAAACUGCAGGACACUGAACUUUGUGCUUUGAGCCCUCUGGAGUUCCCAUCAGGUCAUGCUUGCAAGCUUUGAUCUGUGAGCCUGGAGGCCAGAGGUGCGGGUUUGGUGGAAGCUGGGAUCCUCACUUGGCUGGCCGAGUCACAGAGCUGAUGGUUGGGAAGGAUGCCAGUUGUGACAAAACAUAAUGAAAUGAUGAGAACUGGCACCACUACAGUGCAGUGUGCUGCUUGUCCCUGACAGCAAUCCUGAAAGUCGUUUGUGCAUGGAAAGUGCACACAAAAGCCAUAAUUAGACCAUAUGGCUGAGCGGUUCCUCUGGUGCUGCUCAGCAGAGCUGUAGAACUUUUCUCUUGCAGCAGAUGAGUGACUGGAAGGGUCAGAUCCAACCUGGAGGAUCUCCACUUUAAAUUUUUUUUUAGAUUUUUCUCUUACAUCUCUAUGGAAACCUGCCAUUAUUGGCUUUCCGGGGGGAAAAAAAGUCUAUCACUUUGAUCUUAACCACAUCCCACAUGGUCAUGGUAAAACCUGGAAAGCUGCAGCACUGGGAUUCAGUAUCCCAGAACAGAGCAGCCAUUCUUAAUGUCUGUAUUUUUAACAUCCUUGUCUUGGGCAAGGUACAACACUCCAAUGACUCAAAUACAGCUUGGUGCAGAGGAAAAUACCGUUUAUCCAUAUAUAUUUGCUUAACUGUGAAUAAAAAUAUAAACAACUUGGGGAGCUAAAUGGGGUGGAAGACUCAUGUGUGAAGGGAGGGUCUGGGAGUCACCCCCCACAACAUUCACUGUGUUACUCCAGGAGAAGGGCAAGUGUGUUACUCCAGAGAAAUAAUGACAGCUGUUUGUUUCAGGUAAAAUGUGAGGCAUUUCCAGUUCUCUCUGCUCUGGAUGCGACUCUGGGAAACAUUUUUGCAGUCAUUGGGGUUAUAUCAGCAGAGACAUAGUGGAGCUGAAAGGAACUGACACUUGGAAUUUCAUAUCUGUUUUUCAAACCACUAAAAACAGAUAUAAAGCCUGUGAGAGAACACACCACCUCAGACCUUGCUACACCAGGGUCAGAAAAAAAAAAGAAAAGGUAUUUUGUUUGCCAAAAAACUUUUAAUUUUGUGCAUGUUCUGGUUUCAUGUCCAUCAUGAUUGUGUCAACAUCAGAACCCAGCCCUAGGAAAUGUUUAUGUCUAAUUUUUUCAGGUCCUGAGCAUUUUAAUCAGUAAAUUAUUUUAUUCACAGAGCAAUUCAGUAAGGGAAAGGGGUCACAAAAUGUAUUUCUAAAGGCUGCAAAGGAUGAUGGUGAAUGGAUUAUGGUGUCCCUCAGUUACUCAGUAAAUUUUUAGUACAGUUGGUAUUGAUUCACAUCUGUUGGUUUCCAUUUCAAUGCCUGAAUUAUAAGAAUGAACUUUAUUUCCUUGUGUUUUAUUUUCUGCCCCUUUUUUACUCUUCAUUGACCCAGUCUUCUCACCAUUAUGCACAACAAAUCUGAUUCAUUUUCAGGCAGAGAAAAAUCUAUGGGUGUGACAGCUGGUUCCAAUAUUUCCUAAUAUCAGUAAAAUUUAUCACGAAUUUUGAAUUUCCUUCCAAGAAAACCCAGGAACCUGUGCAUUUUUUCACUGAAUUCCUCCUCAUUUUUGACCAGCCAUGUACGGGAUGUAGUUGGGGUAAAUGACAGGGAAAUGUCAGUACCAUUUUAAGUGAAAUCUUUGACAUCAAUCUACAAAAGGCAGGCAGAUGGGGCUUUAUACUUCUGUAAGAGCAAAGCUUCAAAUUUAUUUAUUUAUUUAUUUAUUCAUAUUUCUAUAGUGUAGAUCGAACUGAGGUGGCCCAUGAAGUGGCUCUUCUUCAGAAGGUCUGUGCUAAACAUGGGCCACCUCAUGCCUUCAGCCCUUUGGACUCUGCAGACACAGUCCCAGCUCAGAAGGUGUGGUGGAAAUGUCUUGUUGGCAUAUUUCGUUCCUUUCAGCAUUUUAUAGAACAGGCCACUGAUUUUCAGCCAGUGAGCAAGCGUGGUUUGUCUGCUUGAGCACCAGAAAAAUGAGCGUCAGAGACACCAGAAGGUCCCAGUGUUCAUUGGUGUGGCUGGCAUCUUGGUUUCUUUUGAUACCUCACAUGUUUUUAUGGUGGUGGAUGGGGAGGAUGCCUCUCCUGCCUUGUGGGAAGUUCAUCCCAAGGGAGGGAGGAUGAGGGAAGCUGGAAUAUUCCAUGCUGUGCAAGCCACAGCUCUUGCGAGGCGCCAAAGCAGCCGUUGCUGCUCGUGAGGGACAGAAGCAGUGCUGGGUUUAUCAAAUCAUAGCUGGGUACAGCUCUUCAAAGGCAUCCUUGUGGCACGUCACAGCAGCACCA